rnacentral:rRNA from 1 species
UGUUUCGGCUAGGGGGCCAUCCCGGCUUACCAACCCGAUGCAAACUGCGAAUACCGGAGAAUGUUAUCACGGGAGACACACGGCGGGUGCUAACGUCCGUCGUGAAGAGGGAAACAACCCAGACCGCCAGCUAAGGUCCCAAAGUCAUGGUUAAGUGGGAAACGAUGUGGGAAGGCCCAGACAGCCAGGAUGUUGGCUUAGAAGCAGCCAUCAUUUAAAGAAAGCGUAAUAGCUCACUGGUCGAGUCGGCCUGCGCGGAAGAUGUAACGGGGCUAAACCAUGCACCGAA